GACGAACGCUGGCGGCGUGCCUAAUACAUGCAAGUAGAACGCUGAAGAGAGGAGCUUGCUCUUCUUGGAUGAGUUGCGAACGGGUGAGUAACGCGUAGGUAACCUGCCUUGUAGCGGGGGAUAACUAUUGGAAACGAUAGCUAAUACCGCAUAACAAUGGAUGACCCAUGUCAUUUAUUUGAAAGGGGCAAAUGCUCCACUACAAGAUGGACCUGCGUUGUAUUAGCUAGUAGGUGAGGUAACGGCUCACCUAGGCGACGAUACAUAGCCGACCUGAGAGGGUGAUCGGCCACACUGGGACUGAGACACGGCCCAGACUCCUACGGGAGGCAGCAGUAGGGAAUCUUCGGCAAUGGGGGCAACCCUGACCGAGCAACGCCGCGUGAGUGAAGAGGGUUUUCGGAUCGUAAAGCUCUGUUGUAAGUCAAGAACGAGUGUGAGAGUGGAAAGUUCACACUGUGACGGUAGCUUACCAGAAAGGGACGGCUAACUACGUGCCAGCAGCCGCGGUAAUACGUAGGUCCCGAGCGUUGUCCGGAUUUAUUGGGCGUAAAGCGAGCGCAGGCGGUUUGAUAAGUCUGAAGUUAAGGCUGUGGCUCAACCAUAGUUCGCUUUGGAAACUGUCAAACUUGAGUGCAGAAGGGGAGAGUGGAAUUCCAUGUGUAGCGGUGAAAUGCGUAGAUAUAUGGAGGAACACCGGUGGCGAAAGCGGCUCUCUGGUCUGUAACUGACGCUGAGGCUCGAAAGCGUGGGGAGCGAACAGGAUUAGAUACCCUGGUAGUCCACGCCGUAAACGAUGAGUGCUAGGUGUUGGAUCCUUUCCGGGAUUCAGUGCCGCAGCUAACGCAUUAAGCACUCCGCCUGGGGAGUACGACCGCAAGGUUGAAACUCAAAGGAAUUGACGGGGGCCCGCACAAGCGGUGGAGCAUGUGGUUUAAUUCGAAGCAACGCGAAGAACCUUACCAGGUCUUGACAUCCCGAUGCUAUUUCUAGAGAUAGAAAGUUACUUCGGUACAUCGGUGACAGGUGGUGCAUGGUUGUCGUCAGCUCGUGUCGUGAGAUGUUGGGUUAAGUCCCGCAACGAGCGCAACCCCUAUUGUUAGUUGCCAUCACUCAGUUGGGCACUCUAGCGAGACUGCCGGUAAUAAACCGGAGGAAGGUGGGGAUGACGUCAAAUCAUCAUGCCCCUUAUGACCUGGGCUACACACGUGCUACAAUGGUUGGUACAACGAGUUGCGAGUCGGUGACGGCAAGCUAAUCUCUUAAAGCCAAUCUCAGUUCGGAUUGUAGGCUGCAACUCGCCUACAUGAAGUCGGAAUCGCUAGUAAUCGCGGAUCAGCACGCCGCGGUGAAUACGUUCCCGGGCCU
rnacentral:rRNA from 1 species